rnacentral:rRNA from 1 species
AGGAGAGUUUGAUCCUGGCUCAGAUUGAACGCUGGCGGCAGGCUUAACACAUGCAAGUCGAGCGGUAACAGGGGUAGCUUGCUACCCGCUGACGAGCGGCGGACGGGUGAGUAAUGCAUAGGAAGCUGCCCAGUAGUGGGGGAUAGCCCGGGGAAACCCGGAUUAAUACCGCAUACGUCCUUCGGGAGAAAGCAGGGGAUCUUCGGACCUUGCGCUAUUGGAUGUGCCUAUGUCGGAUUAGCUAGUUGGUGGGGUAAAGGCCUACCAAGGCGACGAUCCGUAGCUGGUCUGAGAGGAUGAUCAGCCACAUCGGGACUGAGACACGGCCCGAACUCCUACGGGAGGCAGCAGUGGGGAAUAUUGGACAAUGGGGGCAACCCUGAUCCAGCCAUACCGCGUGUGUGAAGAAGGCUUUCGGGUUGUAAAGCACUUUCAGUGAGGAGGAAAACCUUAAGAUUAAUACUCUUGAGGCUUGACGUUACUCACAGAAGAAGCACCGGCUAACUCCGUGCCAGCAGCCGCGGUAAUACGGAGGGUGCAAGCGUUAAUCGGAAUUACUGGGCGUAAAGCGCGCGUAGGUGGUUUGAUAAGCGAGAUGUGAAAGCCCCGGGCUUAACCUGGGAACGGCAUUUCGAACUGUCAGGCUAGAGUAUGGUAGAGGGUAGUGGAAUUUCCUGUGUAGCGGUGAAAUGCGUAGA